rnacentral:lncRNA from 1 species
AAAUAGAAUCAACUUGGGUUAUAUUUGUCAUUUACUUUGUUCUGUUAGAUUUUUUCAGUUGUUUUUGGAAAAAUUCUAGAAAUCAGGAUGAAAAAUGCAGCUUUUCCAGGGUUGCUGGACUGGGGGUUUUAUUUGGGCCUCCUUAUUAUAAUUUGUCACUACUUAUAAAAAACAUUCUGUUGCAAACAGUGGUGUUGCAUUGAAUUGAACUUUGGCAAUGAGAACACAGCACACAGCUCCCUUUUCAAAAAGGGUCUCAACCCCAGUGUGUAUUUUUGUACAUCAACAUUUAGAAUACUUAUGGCAGAUAAGUAAGGCAUGUCACUGUGUCCUUCAGUAACCUCUCUCAGUAACUGGUUUCUUUAUCCCUAACAUGAAUUCAUUUCUCCUUUGAAGUCAUUUAUUAUUUUAUAAAUUGAGAACAACCACACCACCAAAUGUCACACCUUCUUAUAAAGUGUGAACAAGGAAGGUCAUGUUUUUGUGGGUAUUUUGUCAGACUUAGAGGUUUCAUUUCAGGGCAUAGUCAAAGGCAUCAUCCUCCCAACUACCCACUUGAUUAUGUAUUUCAGAUCCCUCCGUGGGGGCCUUCUUCUGACAGAGAAUUCUUUGAGGUCCGCAGUAGUGCUUUUGUCAGCACAGACUGCUAAUCUACAUCUUGCUGCGUUCUGUUUGCUGAGGUUGGGCUUAUUCAUUUAACACAUACCAACCAUUAUCCAGAGGCACCAUGGAGAGUUAGUCAUGGAAUAAAGCACUGUCCUUGCAGAUGAAAAAAGUCUCCAGAGCAGACUUCUGACAGGAAAGGUUUAGAUGCUGGAGAGUUGAAGAGGUGUAAGAAGAGAUCGUGCCCUCAUUUUUCACUUAUUUUUUUGGUUAUUCAUUUAUAAUAAAAGGUUGGCAUUGAUAUGGUACAACCUGCAAAUUACUUGCAGUUCUGAGUUUCAGAUAAAACAUUAUAAAACAUUAAAUUCAAUACAUACUGCUCCUUUGAAAUUUGGGUAAAAAAUUGUACAACCGUAUAUAUAGUCAUUUUUGUAUUUUUUCUAUGUUGUGAAAACCAAAAUUGUAAUUUUAUAAGUCUUUGAUUCACUAAAAUUAUAUAAUUUAAAUGUAUUUUUUGUAUAUUUAGAAAUAAGGAGUCCAGAGACUACGCUUAACUUUCUAUGCAUGCAUUUGAAAGCUGUUUUUACCUGAUAAUGUAGUAAUAAGUUGUAUUCAUAAAAUACUGAUCUGUGUUGCAUUUCAAAAUAAACUGGUGUGUGCUCUGCCUGGAUUUG